CAGAUAUUAACCUUGAUACAGACAUCUGGAGUCUGAAUGAUCAAGAUAGCAAUGCAAUUAUAUUGCCAGACAA